rnacentral:lncRNA from 1 species
GAACAGAAAUAGUCUCCAUAAUCUAAUCUCCAGAAUGCACUAAACCAGGAGAAGAUCCACCUGGAUAAUUUCGUUGUCAAAGGAAUGGAAGAAUAUUAAGGAGAACAAGUCCUCAUCUCUCCAAAGACCCUUCAUCCUUCAUUUCACAAUAGUCUUUAUUGGAGGCCUCUCCUAUUAAACCCUAUUCUGUUUGAGGAUUAUUAUCCAUCGCCAUUGUAUUUUGAAGAACCUGUCAAAGAGGAGGUCUGCUGGAGUUUGCUGGAGGUCCACUCCAGACCCUGUUUGCCUGGGUAUCACCGGCAGAGGCUGCAGAGCAGCAAAGAUUGCUGCCUGCUCCUUCCUCUGGAAGCUUCAUCCCAAAGGGGCACCCGCCUGAUGCCAGCCAGAGCUCUCCUGUACGAGAGAUGCCCUGCCCAGUGAGGAGGAAUCUAGAGAAGCAGUCUGGCCAUAGCUUUGCUGCACUGCGCACUUCUCCUUGCUGCCGCCAUGUGAAGAAGAAUGUGUUUGCUUCCCCUUCCGCCAUGAUUGUAAGUUUCCUGAGGUCUCCUCAACCAUGCUGAACUGUGAGUCAAUUAAGCCUCUUUCAAUUAUAAAUUACCCAGUCUCAGGUAUGUCUUUAUUAGCAGCAUGAGAACGGACUAAUACAAUCCCCAUAUAACAAAUCUGCACAUGGGACCCCUGAAUGUAAAAUUAAAGUUUAAACUAUUAAAAAAA